GUAUAUUUGAUUAUGGCCUUUCGGCACGAUCACGUUCAAUAUUUUAUAAGGGGGUAUGUGUUAAUAAUGAGAAGGGGGAAAAAACUUUCGACAAACCCAAUAAAGAGCUUAUCUCGAACUUUUCCCCCCUUUCUCAAAGGUUCACAGGUGUAUGGAUAAUGAAAUGUCGGAGAGCGAGCACAUGUAACCCGAAAGCUACCAGCAUCAACCCUCCUUUACAAUUCGUUAAUGAUCCUUCCGCAGGUUCACCUACGGAAA
rnacentral:misc_RNA from 1 species